AUUGAACGCUGGCGGCAUGCUUUACACAUGCAAGUCGAACGGCAGCACGGGUGCUUGCACCUGGUGGCGAGUGGCGGACGGGUGAGUAAUGCAUCGGAACGUGUCCUAAAGUGGGGGAUAACGCAUCGAAAGAUGUGCUAAUACCGCAUAUUCUCUGAGGAGGAAAGUAGGGGAUCGAAAGACCUUAUGCUUUUGGAGCGGCCGAUGUCUGAUUAGCUAGUUGGUAGGGUAAUGGCUUACCAAGGCGACGAUCAGUAGUUGGUCUGAGAGGACGACCAGCCACACUGGGACUGAGACACGGCCCAGACUCCUACGGGAGGCAGCAGUGGGGAAUUUUGGACAAUGGGCGCAAGCCUGAUCCAGCAAUGCCGCGUGAGUGAAGAAGGCCUCGGUUGUAAGACUCUUCGUCCGGGAACGGAAAGUACG
rnacentral:rRNA from 1 species